rnacentral:rRNA from 1 species
UACGUAGGGUGCGAGCGUUGUCCGGAAUUAUUGGGCGUAAAGGGCUCGUAGGCGGUUUGUCGCGUCGGGAGUGAAAAUCCAGGGCUUAACUCUGGACUGGCUUCCGAUACGGGCAGACUAGAGUUCGGCAGGGGAGACUGGAAUUCCUGGUGUAGCGGUGAAAUGCGCAGAUAUUAGGAGGAACACCGGUGGCGAAGGCGGGUCUCUGGGCCGAUACUGACGCUGAGGAGCGAAAGCGUGGGGAGCAAACAGG